rnacentral:lncRNA from 1 species
CCGAACACUUAUUAAAAAUGAAUUUCAACUCAAAUAAAAGGAGAAUAUGUACCUUCUAGGCAAAACCUUUUCCAAAGCAUCGAACCCAUCUUAUGCCCACAUUUAUAUUUACUCCGUACCUCUUCCCCUCAACGUCUGACUCAUCACUGUUCUUCCUGAUCGAAGACGUGGAUGACGACGAUAAGAGCUACACCGAUCCUCCUCCUCCUCUGCCACUGCCGGGAACCUCUGGUCACCGGAAGCGGACUCCGGCGUGUUGCGGAUCAACGAUAUACACUCCAUCUACGUUGACAAAUCGUAGCCGUUCGAUUUAGUGAGAGAUGUGCGAUCAGUUAGUUGAAAGAAGCAAGUAGCCAAGUAGGAAAUGCCCC